rnacentral:rRNA from 1 species
AUUGAACGCUGGCGGCAUGCCUUACACAUGCAAGUCGAACGGUAACGCGGGGCAACCUGGCGACGAGUGGCGAACGGGUGAGUAAUGCAUCGGAACGUGCCCAGUAGUGGGGGAUAGCUCGGCGAAAGCCGGAUUAAUACCGCAUACGACCUACGGGUGAAAGCGGGGGACCGUAAGGCCUCGCGCUGUUGGAGCGGCCGAUGUCAGAUUAGGUUGUUGGUGAGGUAAAGGCUCACCAAGCCGACGAUCUGUAGCUGGUCUGAGAGGACGACCAGCCACACUGGGACUGAGACACGGCCCAGACUCCUACGGGAGGCAGCAGUGGGGAAUUUUGGACAAUGGGGGCAACCCUGAUCCAGCCAUGCCGCGUGCGGGAAGAAGGCCUUCGGGUUGUAAACCGCUUUUGUCAGGGAAGAAAAGCUUCGGGCUAAUACCCCGAGGUAAUGACGGUACCUGAAGAAUAAGCACCGGCUAACUACGUGCCAGCAGCCGCCGUAA